rnacentral:tRNA from 1 species
GAGGGCAUAGCUCAGCGGAAGUGCGCGUGCUUAGCGUGCACGAGGUCCUGGGUUCAAUCACAGUGCCUCCA